UGCAGUAAGUAGGACAGUAGUAGCAGACCUACAGUAUACUAGGGGGUGCAGUAAGUAGGACAGUAGGAGACAUACAGUAUAGGGGGAGGUGCAGUAAGUAGGACAGUAGCAGACAUACAGUAUAGGGGGAGGUGCAGUAAGUAGGACAGUAGUAGCAGACAUACAGUAUAGGGGGAGGUGCAGUAAGUAGGGCAGUAGCAGACAUACAGUAUAGGGGGAGGUGCAGUAAGUAGGACAGUAGUAGCAGACAUACAGUAUAGGGGGAGGUGCAGUAAGUAGGACAGUAGCAGACAUACAGUAUAGGGGGAGGUGCAGUAAGUACAGUAUAGAGGGAGGUGCAGUAAGUAGGACAGUAGCAGACAUACAGUAUAGGGGGAGGUGCAGUAAGUAGGACAGUAGCAGACAUACAGUAUAGGGGGAGGUGCAGUAAGUAGGACAGUAGCAGACAUACAGUAUAGGGGGAGGUGCAGUAAGUACAGUAUAGAGGGAGGUGCAGUAUGUAGCGUGGUAUGGAAUGUGUGGUGUAGUAUGUAGCGUGGUAUGUAACGUGUGGUGUAGUAUGUAGGGUGGUAUGGAAUGUGUUUACUAGUCUUAGUCGUGGUAUGCAGCGUGUGGUGUAGUAUGUAGCGUGUUAUGUAAUGUGUUUACUAGUCUUGGUAGUGGUAUGUAGCGUGUGGUGUAGUAUGUAGCGUGUUAUGUAAUGUGUUUACUAGUCUUGGUAGUGGUAUGUAGCGUGGUAUGGAAUGUGUUUACUAGUCUUGGUAGUGGUAUGUAGCGUGUGGUGUAGUAUGUAGCGUGGUAUGGAAUGUGUUUACUAGUCUUAGUCGUGGUAUGUAGCGUGUGGUGUAGUAUGUAGCGUGGUAUGUAACGUGUGGUGUAGUAUGUAGCGUGGUAUGGAAUGUGUUUACUAGUCUUGGUAGUGGUAUGCAGCGCGUGGUGUAGUAUGUAGCGUGUUAUGUAAUGUGUUUACUAGUCUUGGUAGUGGUAUGUAGCGUGUGGUGUAGUAUGUAGCGUGGUAUGGUCUGUCUCUCUCUGUCUGUCUCUGUCUGUCUCUGUCUCUCUCUGUCUCUCUCUCUCUCUGUCUCUCUCUGUCUGUCUCUCUCUCUCUGUCUGUCUCUCUCUCUCUGUCUCUCUCUGUCUCUCUCUCUCUGUCUCUGUCUCUCUGUCUCUGUCUCUCUCUGUCUCUCUGUGUCUCUCUCUGUCUCUCUCUGUCUCUGUCUCUCUGUCUCUCUCUCUGUCUGUGUUUACUAGUCUUGGUCGUGGUAUGUAGCGUGGUAUGUAGAGUGGUAUGUAGCGUGGUAUGGAAGGUGUUUACUAGUCUUGGUCGUGGUAUGGAGCGUGUUUACUAGUGCACUACUGGUUAAAAGCAAUCAUGGAGCUGUACCCCUCUAGUUCAUUAGAACAGGACUGUUGGUUUCCUCUGUGUAAUGAGAAACAGCCUGCGUCCCUAAUGGAAGACUACUCCCUACAUAGUACACUACUGGUUAAAAGCAAAGCACUAUAACAAAAGGAAGAGGGAGCCAUUUGGCACGUAUCCAACAGUAGUUUAGACUGUAGAGAUUCUGUUGUCUAUAUAUAUAUAUAUAUAUAUAUAUAUAUAUAUAUAUAUAUUCCCUGCUGAGUCGUGGUCAACAAGGUGAUUUGCAUCCAGACAGUCUUGUCUCCAGGUCCAGAUGUGGCUUUUGCCUGCUUCAAUGUGUCCUGGGAGGACAUGGUGUUUGGGAGACAGUGCCAUGUCUUUCUGACCGGACUCAUCCUGGACUCCAUAAGACUAGAGGACUCCAAGGACUGCACUCUCAAGAUAACCAACCUGGUCUAUUUCCUCUGGACAGGUCAGGUGAAGGCUGAGGACUUUGUCUCUGAGCUGCUCAGAAUAAUUUGUUCUGAGAGACGGGAGAAGAGCAGAGAGCAGCUGCUCCUGCAGUGGUUGGAGCCCCGAGUCACUCAGCUGGGAGGACAGAUCUUCUACGAUCAGGAGGACAGGACCUCAGACCCACUGGCUCUGACCUGUCAGGGAACUGACCUGGAGUCAGGCUCACGUCACAAAUAGCACCUUAUUCCCU